UGCCCUGAAAAGACCUGAAAUGGACCUCCUUUCAUUGUUAAAAAUCCCAGUACACAGGGAAGGAACAAUAGGAGAAACAGUGAUACAUCAACAUCGUCAACUGAGACACAGUGAGGACAGACUAUGCUGGCCACUUCAUAUGUAUGCAAGGAGGAAGACUACAGAGAAAUUCCCAUAGAAAGAGUAAAGAUCCCAGGAGAUGUAGUGAUGGAGCUAUCUGAAUCUGUAACUGUUUUGCUCUGGAGCACCUCAGACUCUGGUGGGGCUCUCUCAAUGCUGUCACAUGGCAGGAGGACAAUUGGGAGUGGACAGAAUUGAAAUGUUGGAACAAGAAGUUUCCUGGCCAACUGAGAAGGACAUUUAUGUGAGUUGCUACUACAGAAGGCAGUAAGAGUAUGAUUGGAAAACUCACCGAUCUGUCUGGGAGCAGCAUACUGUAAAAGUGCUAA